UACGGGGGGGGCAAGCGUUGUUCGGAAUUACUGGGCGUAAAGGGCUCGUAGGCGGCCAACUAAGUCGGACGUGAAAUCCCUCGGCUUAACCGGGGAACUGCCUCCGAUACUGGCAGUCUCGAGUGCGGGAGAGGUGAGUGGAAUUCCCAGUGUAGAGGUGAAAUUCGUAGAUAUUGGGAAGAACACCAGUGGCGAAGGCGGCUCACUGGCCCGUAACUGACGCUGAGGUGCGAAAGCGUGGGGAGCAAACAGG
rnacentral:rRNA from 1 species